CUCGUCUGUUGCUGGAAAUAAACCUCCUCAGGGAGUCAAUCAGCUGCUGUGCGCUCCUCAAGCGCAUAGCCCACAGAUCAAACACGAGUGGCUGUCUCCGAGUCGGUUAAGAUAUGACCGUAGCGGCUCCGCAAGGAGAUCGGUAUACUAGUUCCGUAGGUGAACCUGCGGAAGGAU
rnacentral:rRNA from 1 species